GGCACUGUGGCGGAGUGGUCUAACGCGUGUGACUCGAACGACUAUGAACAGAGUAUGUAUCGUAGUCCGUGCCUAUCACAUCUCUUCGGAGGCGCCCGUUCGAAUCGGGCCAGUGUCG